UGUAAGCCUUUUCUGUAAUUUUUACAGACUUGUUUCUGUAAAACGCCUACAGCGCAGGUCUGUUAUCCUGAUAACAGACACGAGUCUGUUAAUAUUUAAGAAAUACAGAAUUUCGUCCGUAAAUAUGACAUACGGGUGUUUAAAUUAAAGUGACGUCAUCGGUCUUCCUGGGCGCCAUUACUGCGAAGACCGUUAGUUAGCGGCAAAGAGGAAUCCCUCAACAUCGAGCACAAUAGUUGAACACUACAGUCAAUACCAAACAUUGCAGUUUUAGGCACAGCUUAUUGCAUCCUUGAGUGCCAUCCCUGUCAUCUAUAGAGUGGGCUACCCAGCCUUUCUCUGGGUGCAUUUUUGAAAUUAACCCAGAUAACGCACAGAAAUCAUGAAAAAGAGGAAGACUCGAGUGUGCCAAAAAGUAUAUAACUAAUCACUAAACUGUCAAACUUUAAAUGGAUGAAGUACAGUUACAACAAUAGCAACAAUAUACCGGUACUGUGAGAAGGUAUACGACGGUAUAGAUGCCACAUUUUGGUUCAAGGUGCUUUAAAUUCUGGGCCACGGUUUGGUUAACAUGGUACAGAUAUUUUAACUGUCCAUUUUCAUCCGAUGCAGAAUACUCCCCUGUAGUUCAUGUGACAAGAAGGAGAAAAGAUGGCUUUCGGCAAUGAAACAUGUGUCCCGCUGAAAGUACAUUCCCCUCCGGCGAACCACAAAUCACGGAUAUAGGAACAUUUUGAAUCAAAAACGUCAGAUGGAAAAGCAGUGGCUAGGGAGCUGGAAACACGUCCAAGAAGAAAUACUGUGAUAUGUAUCGUUGCAACCUAUGAUGCAAUAAUGUUCAUGCAUGCAAACUUUAGGGAUAGGCCUAUUGAGUUUAUGGUUAGUUUUUAUACACCAGCACAUAGUGUGUAUAAAAUAGGUGAUAAGGGACCGAGCCACAACCCUUUUAUGAGUGAUACUUUGUAAAUGAGACUUUAAACGCACUGCAAGAAAUCUUUUUAAUGAAUCUUCUUAAUUAAACUUGAUCUUCUUAUUGUACUUUUGAUAAGAUGUCCGUUUACUUUAAUGGAAAAAUCUUUUGGUCAUUUAAUUUGUCCAUCAACAAUUUGGUACAUUUGUAAAAUUAUCCUCAGUUCAUUUUGUCUCUAAAUAUGCGGCCGUGUUGCAUAAACAUUAAAAUUGUGUAACUCUCAUCUACACAUUUCAUUUUGGGACUGGUUCAUUAACUUUGUCAGUAGUCCAGUUCCAUCUAAAUUUUUAUCUAUGAGACUGAAUCAAUUUAUGCCAUUCUCACUAAGGAAUGUACAUGCUUAGGCAGAGUUAUUGUGCAAAAUUUAAUGAUAUACAUUUUCAAACAGAGAUUAAGCUAAUCAUUGAAACAAGCUGUACAUUUAAGGUGGAAUAAUAGGAAUUCUGCAUUGAUGCUGUUCUUGUUUUAAAGUCAUGAUACUUUUGGGGUUCAAUAAUUGUUAGAUUUUAAAUUGUUCAUUUAAACAUUUAGAAUGC